rnacentral:lncRNA from 1 species
AAGUAGAAAGGAAGCGGCUGAUGUAAGGGAAAACGAUUCUUGAGGUGGAACUGAAAAAACCAAUGAGAGGGGUGUUUUGGGGAAUUCGCUUCGGUUUCAUAACGGCGUCGUUUUUGAUCCUUCGCUUUCUCGUAAUUAAAGACUAGUCACGAUAUAAUCAUGGUUAAUGACUAUUUGGGGAUGGUUUGGAUAUUUUUGAUCUUCUAGAAGUUUUUCAUCACUCA